rnacentral:lncRNA from 1 species
CUCCCCCAAACCUCCCGGCGGCGGGGCCGGGGGGGGCCGUGCCCGGGCUGGCGGCGCGCACACGCGUGUCCCACGGACGUGCGCAAGGACACGCGUGCACCGCUCGCCCGGGGCCUUGCGGGACCCGCCGGGGGCCUCGGCCGCCUCCUGCAAAGGCGGAGGGGGGGGGGCUUUUCCGAAGUUCCCCCCCCGCCAAGCUUUGCCAUCGCUCCCCACCUCGGGCUGCGCCGAGGAGGAAUUCGGGGGAAGGCGACGAGCAAGCGGAGCGCGGGGAUGGCCCUCUCCUGGCUCGUUAUCGAAUAAGCGAAUCCCGACGGAUGGGUCCGAAGGAAAAUUCAAGCCGAGGUGAAGAAUGCGAGGCUGGAAGAAAAAAGAAGAAAAGAAAGAAAGAAAGCCCUCAAAGCCAGGAAAUCUGUGUUAAUUGCUUAUGAGUGUCUCUGUCUAAAAAAUUAUCGAAUUGAUGUUGUCGUGCUUUUUUUUGACAGCCUGUCUGUUACAUUUUUUUAAAAUAUUCAUGCACCGAAAUCUAAUUACUAGGCAAAUUUAAUGAUAAUGAAAUGAAGGCACUUUAGCAGAAAGCACGGGGCCUUGUUAAUGUUUUCUCAGCCUCUGUCUUGUUCGUAUUUUUAAAUUUUUUUUUUACAACUGCCUUUCUUGCAUUAAAAAAAAAAAAAAAAGGAUUGCCGAAAAUAAAACUUGGAUUGCUGAAAAUGUUUGUGGUGGC